rnacentral:rRNA from 1 species
UACGUAGGGGGCUAGCGUUGUCCGGAAUCAUUGGGCGUAAAGAGCGUGUAGGCGGUUCGGUAAGUCUGCCGUGAAAACCUGGGGCUCAACCCUGGGCGUGCGGUGGAUACUGCCGGGCUAGAGGGUGGUAGAGGCGAGUGGAAUUCCCGGUGUAGCGGUGAAAUGCGCAGAUAUCGGGAGGAACACCAGUAGCGAAGGCGGCUCGCUGGGCCAUUCCUGACGCUGAGACGCGAAAGCUAGGGGAGCGAACAGG